AACCUAGCCGCAAGACACAAUCAUAAUCAGUCGCAACAUAGAGCAAAAAUGAAUGGUUCAUUCGUUAUCACUAGCAAACACCAAUAGGAACAUUUUUUUUAAUCCUCUGUUUUCUCUUUAAUCCCAAAUCGACUAUUAACACUUGGUUCACACGGAGCAGACGAGGUUGAGGUUUCCAGCAAGUUUCCGGUCAAAGCUCCGACUAAAAGAGAUUUGUUUAAUCGAAAUUUAUCGCCUCAAAGUUUGUUUUAGGCUGGUUCUAGUAACAUGGCAUGCAUGCGGAUUUUUUGGUCAAAUCUUAAAACCUGAUUUAGCCAGGGAACAAAUGCACCAAAACUCGAAAAUUGUGAAAAAGAACAUUUGAGGAAACAAGCAGAGACAAGUAUGAAGGAAAAGUGAGAGACAAUAUCCAACAAUGCAUUUGUUGUGAAGAGAUACCAUGUGAUUUUCAUUUCUCAUUCUCAAAUCGCAUGUUUUGUACUUGAGAUUUUUAAGGAUUGGUAUGACGAAGGCAUUUCAUUCUGCUAUCUAAAUGUUGUGUCACCAUUUGCUACCCCUGUUGAACCUUAGUUUUAUUUUCUUUCAUACCCCUCUUUUGGAAUCAAAAUAGAAUUAGAAAAAAAAAAGGACAACGAAAAGAAAAGAAAGAAGGAAACAAAAUCACACAAACCAAAAAAAAAAAUUAAAAAUUAAAAAAAAAAAAGAGAGAAAACACAAGAAAUGAGCUGCCGGAACCACGUCUGACCUGAUUCUUGUCUCGACAGGAUACGUAGGCAACCCUAUUCUGGGGUUCGGUCCAACCAAAGAAAAUCCAAAAUUUCCCGUUUCGAAGAAACUGGGACAGAAGUUAUUGUUUUCUUUUGAGUCGAUUCCAAAAGUUGUAAGUCUCACCCCUAUUAUUUUUGUGUUGUCUUCGAGCCUCCACGCCAUCCUUUCUUUUCAACCCUAUCCAAAGCCACGUUACAACCAAAGAAAAGACCUUCAGAUCAAUCAUUGAGAAUGUCAAGGCUGAGUACGCUAUGAGUACAAAAUAUUUGCUAACGAGCGUCACCUGUCUGCGUAAGCAUAAGGGAGGUGAAAGAAGAGAAUGAAAAUGAGAGAGUCUUAUUGGUGAAAGACUUCAGAGGCACCAUAAGGCGAUAAAGGUCUGAGAGAAAUGAAAAUGAGAGUCUCUCACUGGUGAAAACCUUCACAGGCACUAUAAGUCGACGGUGAGUUGAGAGAAUGAAAAUGAGAGAUUCUUACCGGUGAAAACCUUCACAGGCACCAUAAGGCAAUGAAGAUUUGAGAGAAAUGAAAAUGAGAGUCUCUCACUGGUGAAAACCUUCAUAGGCACCAUAAGUCAACGGUGAGUUGAGAGAAUGAAAAUGAGAGAGUCUUACCGGUGAAAACCUUCAUAGGCACCAUAAGGCGACGGUGAGUUGAGGGAAUGAAAAUGAGAGAGUCUUAUUGGUAAAAACCAUCAUGGGAACCGUAAGGCUAUGUUAAGAUGAGAGACAAAUAAAAGAGAGAGGUUUAGUGAUGAAAACACUUCGGAGCGCCACUAGCCGAAUGAGAGUUUUGAGCCUGUUGAAUAGGUUGGGAUAUGAAGCCUUGAUUUCAAAACAAGUUGUGAGAGCACAACCGGAGUUAAAGAAUAGAUUGGUUGAACAGAUUAGGCCGCUCAAUCCAAAAUGCAUGUCAUGACCAUUGGAUCCAGCGACCACAUUCAGAUAAGUGUUUUCUUUCCUUUUCUCCUAAUAAGGGACAUUUCCACUUCUACAUCUUUUUACUUCUUUUGUUUUGUUUCGUUGAGUCAUCCAUGUAGAACGGGUGGAGAAAGGAUUUCAAAACUUGAUACCAGCUUUUCCAAUUGCGAAGCAAAACAUCUGGCUAGCACAUGAAGGUAGCAUGAUUCAAAGUGGGUAGAGUACCCAAUGAGUUAUCGUUCAUUGAUAGAUUAUGGAUUCAUGAAAAUAUAUGGGAUCAGUAGAGUUUGAAUUAAUAGGCACCAUGAAACAGAGGUAUUGGUAUUGGGUUUGAUUUAAAGUCACUGAGAGUCACUCCGGUAGCCAAAAUUUGGGUCAGUGGUCUAACGAGCCGACAACGAGCACAGACUAUUGGAAAUCACAGCUAAGUAGAACAAGUGCAUGAGCAAGCACCUUCAGAACCAAGGCCACAAACCCACCACCACAUUUUAAAACUCACAAUUUUUCUUUGUUUGAAAUAGGAAUGGAUAUUAUCCUCAAAUCAAAGGGUCAAAGCUUCAAAUGUACAAUGUCUUAUUUUUACCGAUGCAAAAGGCAAUAUCACAACAUAUGUUUGCAAGCAACAAAAAUUGAUCGACUUUUCAAUUAUGAAUAUUGUCACCCCUAGGAGAUGCACUUCCUAGUCCAGGGUGUAGAAGACGUAUUUCCUAACCCAAAGCUUUACUCCUAGGAAACGCACUUCCUAGUCGAGUCUUUCUGUUUAACCCCUAAGAGACGCACUUCUUAGUCAGGGUCUUUCAAGUUUUGCUUUUAGGAGACGCAUUUCCUAAUAUGAACCUUUACUCCUAGGAGACGCACUUCCUAGUCGAGUCUUUCUGUUUAACCCCUAAGAGACGCACUUCUUAGUCAGGGUCUUUCAGGUUUUGCUUUUAGGAAACACAUUUCCUAAUAUGAACCUUUACUCCUAGGAGACGCACUUCCUAGUCGAGUCUUUCAGUUUAACCCCUAAGCGGCACACUUCUUAGUCUGGGUCUUCCUGGUUUUGACGUUUAGGGGACGCACUUCCUAAUGCAAACCUUUACUCCUAGGAGACGCACUUCCUAGUCGAGUCUUUCAGUUUAACCCCUAAGAAACGCACUUCUUAGUCUGGGUCUUCCUGGUUUUUGACGUUUAGGAGACGCACUUCCUAAUGCAAACUUCUACUCCUAGGAGACGCACUUCCUAGUCGAGUCUUUCAUUUUAACCCCUAAGAGACGCACUUCUUAGUCUGGGUCUUCCUGGUUUUUCGUUUAGGAGGCGCACUUCCUAAUGCAAACCUUUACUCCUAGGAGACGCACUUCCUAGUUGAGUCUUUCAGUUUAACCCCUAAGAGACGCACUUCUUAGUCUGGUUCUUCCUGGUUUUGACGUUUAGGAGACGCACUUCCUAAUGCAAACCUUUACUCCUAGGAGACGCACUUCCUAGUCGAGUCUUUCAGUCUAACCCCUAAGAGACGCACUUCUUAGUUUGGGUCUUCCUGGUUUUUGAUGUUUAGGAGACACACUUCCUAAUGCAAACCUUUACUCCUAGGAGACGCACUUCCUAGUCGAGUCAUUCAGUUUAACCCCUAAGAGACGCACUUCCUAAUGCAAACCUUUACUCCUAUGAGACACACUUCCUAGUCGAGUCUUUCUGUCUAACCCCUAAGAGACGCACUUCUUAGUCUGGGUCUUCCUGGUUUUUGACUUUAGGAGACACACUUCCUAAUGCAAAACUUCUACUCUUAGGAGAUGCACUUCCUAGUCGAUUCUUUCAGUUUAACCCCUAAGAGACGCACUUCAUAGUCUGGGUCUUCCUGGUUUUUCACUUUAGGAGACACACUUCCUAAUGCAAAUCUCUACUCCUAGGAGAUGCACUUCCUAGUCGAGUCUUUCAGUUUAACCCCUAAGAGACGCACUUCUUAGUCAGGGUCUUUUAGUUUUUACAUUUAGGAGACACACUUCCUAGUUUGAAUUUUUAGAUUCACCCCUGGGAGACGCACUUCCUAGUUAGUACAUUUAAUUUUACUUUCAUAAUUGAAUUAUUUUACAAUUUUGCUAACACUCACCAAAAAUUUCCUGGUGCAACCUGGGACAGAAAAUUUUUGUUCGUGUUAUUUGUUUUGAUAAUGUGCAGGACCCGCCUGAAGAAUGGGAAGCAAGUCAGGACCCGCCUGAAGAAUGGGAAGAAAGUCAGGACCCGCCUAAAGAAUGGGAAGCAAGUCAGGACCCGCCUGAAGAAUGGGAUGAUCGGGAAUCCGCCUAGAGAAUAGGGCCACCUUUCGAUUUCAAGUUCAGGAACCCGCCUGGAUAAUAGGGAUAUCUUUCAAUUUCAAGUUCAGGAGCCCGCCUGAAGAAUAGGGUGUACUUUCAGUUAGAAGUAGCAGGAGCCCGCCUGAAUAAUAGGGUCAACAUUCAACUGCUUUUCAAUUUCAAGAUCAGGGCCCCGCCUGAAGCAUGGAGUUUACUUUUAAGUUCAAUUCGAGAUUGAAGUGUUUAUCUCACACUUGGGAAAACAUGAAGAUUUGGGUCAAGAUUCAAGAGAAGCCUCAUAGCUAGGAUCCUGUGCUUGUAUUUUCUUUUUCACUUUUGUCUUUCAUUUGAUGUAAUAAUAGGACCGUGUACCGGAGCCUCGACAGGACCUCGCUCGACUAUUCACCUCAAUAUGUUUCGUCUCCCUUCUUACUUUUGAACUACACGUGACCUGAUUCCCUUAUAACCCGGGAUAUGUAGGAUGCCCAAAACCAGGGCUCGGUUGCAUCAUCUUCCUUCUUUCCCUUCCUUUUAGAACAACGGUAGGGCCAAACUAGUUUCUUUGUCUACUUGUUUAUUUGAAAACUCUUCGUGUUCCCAAUCAAACAGGGGCAGCUGUAGACACGUAAUUUUUGACCCUCCCGGGAUGUUUUCAUUGUCUUAUUGAUUAAUUUUUCUUUUUA